rnacentral:rRNA from 1 species
GAUCAAGCGCGAGAAGGGCGUUUGGUGGAUGCCUUGGCAGUAAGAGGCGAUGAAGGACGUGAUACUCUGCGAUAAGUCCUGGGGAGCUGAGAAUAAGCUUUGAUCCAGGAAUUUCCGAAUGGGGCAACCCACCUGAAAGAUGAUUGUUAGCAAUACCGUCAGUUACGAGAGCCUCGCGCUCAAGUAGCGAAGCGGUAGCGCAUAUCAAUCGUCUUAAACAGGUACUUUUAACCUGAACACAUAGGGUUUUAAGAGCAAACCCGGGGAACUGAAACAUCUAAGUACCCGGAGGAAAGGACAUCAAUAGAGACUCCCCUAGUAGCGGCGAGCGAACGGGGACCAGCCGAGUCCUGAGAGUGAACAGAAUGGUCUGGAAAGGCCAACCACAGCGGGUGACAGUCCCGUAUGUGAAGCUCGAUGGAACGUAUUAAGUAGGGCGGGACACGUGAAAUCCUGUCUGAAGAUCGGGGGACCACCCCCGAAGGCUAAGUACUCCUUACUGACCGAUAGCGAACCAGUACCGUGAGGGAAAGGUGAAAAGCACCCCGACGAGGGGAGUGAAACAGUACCUGAAACCGAACGCCUACAAUCAGUCGGAGGCUCCUCGAGAGCUGACGGCGUACCUUUUGUAUAAUGGGUCAUCGACUUGGUCUAUCUAGCAAGCUUAAGCCGUUAGGUGUAGGCGCAGCGAAAGCGAGUCUUAAUAGGGCGAUGAGUUAGAUGGAUCAGACCCGAAACCGAGUGAUCUAGGCAUGACCAGGAUGAAGGUUAGGUAACACUAACUGGAGGUCCGAACCCACACCUGUUGAAAAAGGUCGGGAUGAGUUGUGCCUAGGGGUGAAAGGCCAAUCAAACUCGGAGAUAGCUGGUUCUCCGCGAAAUCUAUUUAGGUAGAGCGUCAUCCGAAUACCCCUGGGGGUAGAGCACUGGAUGGGUAAUGGGGCCCCACAGGCUUACUGAUCCUAACCAAACUCCGAAUACCAGGGAGUACUAGAUGGCAGACACACUGCGGGUGCUAACGCCCGUAGUGGAGAGGGAAACAACCCUGACCUCCGGCUAAGGCCCCCAAUUCAUGGCUAAGUGGGAAAGCAGGUGGGACGACCAAAACAACCAGGAGGUUGGCUUAGAAGCAGCCAUCCUUUAAAGAUAGCGUAACAGCUCACUGGUCUAAUUAAGUUGUCCUGCGGCGAAGAUGUAACGGGGCUCAAGCCAUGAGCCGAAGCCGAGGAUGCGCAUAGCGCAUGGUAGCGGAGCGUAGUGUGACAUAGGACUACUCCUCUUCUGCAUCCUUCGGGAUGUAAUGGAGGAGCAAGUCCUUUCUGUGAAGCCGGGCUGUAAGGCAUCCGGUGGAGAGAUCACUAGCGAGAAUGAUGACAUGAGUAGCGACAAAGAGUGUGAGAGACACUCUCGCCGAAAGUCCAAGGGUUCCUGCUUAAAGCUAAUCUGAGCAGGGUAAGCCGGCCCCUAAGGCGAGGCCGAAAGGCGUAGUCGAUGGGAACCAGGUCAAUAUUCCUGGGCCAUGUGGUGGUGACGGAUUGCAGAGGUCGUUCUUCCUUAUCGGAUUGGAAGGGCGGCUGAGCGGUUCCUGGAAAUAGCCCCACUUUGAGACCGUACCCUAAACCGACACAGGUGGACUGGUAGAGAAUACCAAGGCGCUUGAGAGAACGAUGUUGAAGGAACUCGGCAAAAUACCUCCGUAAGUUCGCGAGAAGGAGGCCCAGUUUCAACGCAAGUUUUGGCUGGGGGCACAAACCAGGGGGUGGCGACUGUUUACUAAAAACACAGGGCUCUGCGAAGUCGCAAGACGACGUAUAGGGUCUGACGCCUGCCCGGUGCCUGAAGGUUAAAAGGAGGGGUGAGAGCUCUGAAUUGAAGCCCAGGUAAACGGCGGCCGUAACUAUAACGGUCCUAAGGUAGCGAAAUUCCUUGUCGGGUAAGUUCCGACCUGCACGAAUGGCGUAACGACUUCCCCGCUGUCUCCAACAUCGACUCAGCGAAAUUGAAUUGCCUGUCAAGAUGCAGGCUUCCCGCGGUUAGACGGAAAGACCCCGUGCACCUUUACUACAGCUUCACACUGGCAUCAGGCCAUGCAUGUGCAGGAUAGGUGGUAGGCUUCGAAGC